CAAGCGGUGUGUCAUGCAUCAUCAAUAUGGCGGCGAAUCUCAAGGAGGCUAGAGGAACAGAGUUUACGCGAGUGCGAGGAAUACGUGUCGCGAGUCAUAAUCGUAAGGCCGUAAUGCCGUUACCAACCGACAUGGAAGCGAAAUUGCUGCGCCAGAUAGUUCUUGCAGGUAUGGCGGAUCAAGUCGCGAAAAAGGUUUCGCCCGAGGUAAAAGAGGAUCAGGAUAAGGCCAAGUGGAAACAUGCUUACAGGUUAGGUAUGAACACCAGAAAUAAAGAAACCUGUGUUCAUGCAUUCUUCGUGCGUUCUACGAAAAAUCAGUCCGGAAUAGGUGGUUUAUAAAGAGGUGUACGAAACGAAUAAGAUGUACAUGCAAGGUGUCACGGCGAUAGAACCUGAAUGAUUGCCGAAAUUCGCUCCCAUGCUAUGCCAUCUUAGUGAACCAUUGGUUGAUUCACCGCCAAGAUAUAAUCAAGGAACUGGGAAGAUCAUUUGCCACGUGUCUGGUACAUUCGGAAAGGCCGGAUGGGCACUACCAUCGAUGGAUAUAAAGCAUCCGUGGACGGUGUCGUGGUUCGUAUUUCUUCUUGGAGAGUUAAGUGUACCCUAAGCUGAAACAGUUUGUCCCGCACGGGGGUGAAAGUAGUAGGAGAAGGGGAGAAACGUCAUGGCAGCAGGGCCAGCUAGGAAUGGGGGGCCGAAGCAAGCCGAAGACUGUCGAUCGGGCACGAAGUUCGAAAAGAAAAGUGAACUACUGAAGUCGUUGUUCUAAUGUCGCGAUAAUCUCGCGUUCGCUGCUGCACAUGUUCGUCCUCGUAGAGAGAUACCCUGGCGAAGGACAGAUUUCGUGAGACCGCUGCUGCACGUGUUGUGAAUUGUGAGAUUCGCCCUUGUACGAGAGAUACCCUGGCGAAGGACAGGUUUCGUGAGACGUGUUCGGAGAUUCGCUCUCGGACAAGAGAGAACUUGGCGAAGGACAGAUUUUGCUGCUGAUGCACGUGUUCGGAGAUUCGCCAUCAAAUCAUUCUAUAUUUAUGACCGAAGGACAGAUUUCGUGAGACCGCUGCUGCACGUGUUCUGAGAUUUCUGAGAUUCGCCCUCGUACGAGAGAUAACCUGGCGAAGGACAGAUUUCGCUGCUGAUGCACGUGUUCGGACGAAUGUUGUACUCAACUGUCACAGGAAGGGAGGACACUUGCCUUAUCCGUACAGUGGCACAACAGUGUGAUGUCGAAGACUGCUGCUGAUAUUAAAGGCGAUACAUUUGCUCGGAGGAAUUUGAGGAACAAGAGGAAAUAACGGGAGGCCCAUCAGUAAUGCACAGAUUAGCGAGAAGACAAAAUGUGCGGUCCAGUCAUAAAAAAAAGUAUGUGAUAUUAUGUGAUAUUAUGUAAUAUACUCGCGUAGGUAGGAUAUACUCGCGUAGGUAGGAUUCGACGAUUAUAUGGUUUCUUAUGCGUGAUGCGUGCACAUAUUUAGGUUAUUUGCAAGAUAAUUUCACCUUGUGUAUUAUUACAUGUUAUACAUUAUGUAUGCUGGUGGGUGCUGGGACCAUCUGAUUUCGGUAAUAGAGUCCGCUCUGGCUACACCGGUAGGUGCUGGGACCGUCAUCCGAGGAUGACGGAGUCCGUACCGGUGCAGUUUGUCUAACAUUAGCCAGUGGGUGCUGGGACUAUUCCCCUUUGAGGAUGAGGUCCGCAAUAGUUUUAUAAUACACAAUGUAUUACAUGUAUUAUUACAUGUUAUACAUAACUUAUAAAUGUAUGUGAUUUUAUUUAUAAUCAACUUUUUUCAGUUCAAAUUUCAUUUACUUUGUAAACUGUUGUAUACGAUGCCUUCGCGAAAGAAAUAUUCUUGCAAAUUUCCCAAUUGUGCCAACAGCUAUUAUUGGUCGAAAGGUGAAGCCAAUACAGUCAUAAAUAAACGCUUUUUUAGAUUUCCAAAAAAUUCUGACAUUUCUACGAAAUGGAAAAUAAUUUGUGGCAUUGAUAUCACUAUUAAUUGCCGGAGUAUGUACAUUUGCGAAGAUCAUUUUCACACUCUCAGAAAAGAAUUCUAGAUACAAUACUAUUAGGAUCGAAAUAAGGCCAAUCAUAUUU